UGUGGGAGCGGGCUUGCUCGCGAUAGCGGUGUGUCAGACGACAUCAAUGUUGAAUGACACACUGCUAUCGCGAGCAAGCCCGCUCCCACA
rnacentral:misc_RNA from 1 species